UAGAGUUUGAUCAUGGCUCAGGAUGAACGCUGGCGGCGUGCCUAAUACAUGCAAGUCGAGCGGUAAGGCCACUUCGGUGGUACACGAGCGGCGGACGGCAGAGUAACGCGUAGGAAUAUACCCUAAAGUGAGGGAUAACUGCCCGAAAGGGUGGCUAAUACCGCAUAUGGUCUUUGGAUCAAAGCUUUUUAGCGCUUUAGGAAUAGCCUGCGUUCGAUUAGCUAGUUGGUAGAGUAAUAGCCUACCAAGGCGACGAUCGAUAGCUGGUCUGAGAGGAUGAUCAGCCUGACUGGAACUGAGACACGGUCCAGACUCCUACGGGAGGCAGCAGUAGGGAAUUUUCCACAAUGGGCGAAAGCCUGAUGGAACAACGCCGCGUGCAGGAUGAAGGCCUUCGGGUUGUAAACUGCUUUUAUGUGCGAAGAAUUUGACGGUAACACAUGAAUAAGGGUCGGCUAACUACGUGCCAGCAGCCGCGGUAAUA
rnacentral:rRNA from 1 species